rnacentral:vault_RNA from 1 species
GUUUGUGCAAAGCCGUCGGGAUACUUCGAUAAUGGUAAUCACUUUUGCUUCUAACAAAAACUCGCAGGUUCGAUCCCCGCACAAUUUCCCGUGGCGCAAUCACAAACCUUA